AAGAAAAUAAGGGUUUGGAGAGAAGUAUUAAUGGCGAAGAUUGUUUGGUGGCAGAGGCAGAUGCUGUAUAUUCAAGUAGCCGUUCCUGUAUAGGUGCAAUAAAGGAGGAGAGGGAGAGGGUUGUGUUAAAGAAAUUGGUAGGUCUAGGAGAUUUAUAAUGCUUCAGACAUACAUUUUAUCUCUCUCAUCUCCUCUCUUGAAUUUUCAAUUCCAACAGUGUCAUUGUUAAAUAUAAAUCCCAUGCAGGCAAUCAUGAUUUUGGGUUUGGGGUUGUGUGCUGAGUUUAAUUUUCCUGCUCCCACCUCUUCUUAAAUAUUCUUCUAGAGAGAGAACCUUUCCGUAUAUGUGUGUGUGUGUGAGAGAGAGAGAGAGUAGGGUUUGUCAAUUUUUUUUAUUAGAAGUCAUUUUCUUGAAUUUGUUUCUUGUUGGGUUGCUUGGAGUCAUCAAGAGGUGUAUCUGGUUGCAGACUUGCUGAUUAAUGCUUUUCUUUCCGAAUAAUUAAUGGUGGGAUUGUAACUUGUUACAUUGUACAAUUUUUUUUAUUUUCUGGGCACUGAAUGAAAUGGGAAGAAAGAAAGGAUUUUCAUCUGCUAUAUUGCCUCUUCUUGUGCCAGUAAUCCUUUUCAUUUUCUGCGGAAAAUCAUCAGCCCAAUAUUCGACUUUGAAUUACACAAAAUAUAGACGAGUUAGUAGCUUCAGACUUGCUAGGAUUCAGAAGCAUUUGGACAAGAUUAACAAGCCUCCUGUCUUCACCAUNNN
rnacentral:lncRNA from 1 species